AUGCUCACUUCGGCAGCACAUAUACUAAAAUCGGAAUAAUACAGAGAAGAUUAGCACAUGGCCCCUGUGCAAGGACGGCACACAAACUCAGUGUUCCACAUUUUG
ensembl:snRNA U6 U6 spliceosomal RNA